rnacentral:rRNA from 1 species
CUGAAAGAGGUUUACAACCCGGAAGGCAGUCAUCCCUCACGCGGCGUCGCUGCGUCAGGCUUUCGCCCAUUGCGCAAUAUUCCCCACUGCUGCCUCCCGUAGGAGUCUGGGCCGUGUCUCAGUCCCAGUGUGGCCGGUCGCCCUCUCAGGCCGGCUACCCGUCGUCGCCUUGGUAGGCCAUCACCCCACCAACAAGCUGAUAGGCCGCGGGCCCAUCCCACACCGCCGGAACUUUCCACACACCACCAUGCGAUGGCAUGUCAUAUCCGGUAUUAGCCCCGGUUUCCCGAGGUUAUCCCAAAGUGCAGGGCAGGUUACCCACGUGUUACUCACCCGUUCGCCGCUCGUGUACCCCGAAGGGCCUUACCGCUCGACUUGCAUGUGUUAAGCACGCCGCCAGCGUUCGUCCUGAGCCAGGAUCAAACU